CACAGCUAUUUGGGAACACAGAAAGGAUUCUCUGGGCCCGAGUUGGAAAAUGGAACCAUCUAGAACAUGUCACAUUUGCUUCUACCUCCUGUUUUUUUUUUUUUUUUUCUUCCUCUAUGCCUUGAGGUCUUGAUAUCUCCCACCCUCACUCCUAUUCUAUCUCCACUCCUCUGAGUUAGGUCUACCCUAACUUUUUAGACCAUGGACAUUCACAGCCAGGAGGGACCUUAGGGAGCCUACAAACUUUUCUUCUACAAUCUAUAGCUUCUUGUUUUAAAGUUAGAGAAACUGAAGCCUAAGAGAGGAAAGCAAUUUUUUUUUAAUGAAAGUAACAUCUGUUUCAGGUCUAUUAGGUACAGGUUUCUUACAUGUGUUCUCUCAUUUUAUCCUCAAAAUAACUGAGUUAGGAAUCACAUUGCCAUUUUUCAGAUGAUGAAAUGGAGACUCCUGGAGACAAAGCAGAAAGGAUGCUUGGGGCGGAUUGCCUAGGAUUAUAUUCCAUCUCCAGCACUUACCAGCUGUGUGAUCUUGGGCAAGUGGUUUACCUUCUCUGUGCUUCAAGUUGCUGGAGAAAGGUGGGGAGAAAAAUAAGAGCUGGAAAACACAUGGCCCUAAACAGGCACUGGCGACUGCCCCUGGCUGCCUCUCUGAAUUCAUGUCACAUCACAACAGCUUGCCUGGCACUUGUUUCCUCAGUUGCUGUUUCCUGGAGCUCCUUCCAUCAGGGUGGGUCUUUCUGACCUGCAAGUCCCCUCCAUACCUCAUAAGCCUUGGGCAGAUGCUCAGUGAGUAUCCACAGUAUGGACGAAAAAUGAUUCAACAGCUUCCUGCACCCAAACCAGGUCAGACCAUCGGGGCUUGAGGAGUAUUACAGAGUGGCAGGAG